GACUAAUAAAGUAGCUGUAGCUGUGGCCGUGACAGGGGCAGAACUUGGCGGAGGAGAGCUCGAACCCCCACCAGGUGCCCCACCGGGCGAGGUGGGUGUAGGAGCUCCUCCGGGACCAGAAGCUCCUCCGGGACCAGGAGCACUUGAAGGUGUAGAAGCUCCUCCGGGACCAGGAGCUGGUGAGGAUGACGGCACUGAUGCUGGAGAUGGUGCUGGCACUGAUGCUGGAGUAGGUGCUGGACCCGCUGGUGUUUUUGGUGCUGGGGCUGGUGUUGCUGCUGCUGGUGUUUUUGCUGGUGCUGGUGCCGAAGUCGGUGGUGCAGGUGUAGUUGACGGUGUUGAUGCUGGCGGAGGUGUGGAUGAGGGUGGAGGUGUGGAUGCUGAUGGAGGUGUUGAUGGUGGCGAUGAUGCUGGUGGAGGGGUGGCUUUAGGAGCUGGAGCUGGAGCUGCACCACCUCCUGAAACGGAGACGGUCAAUUUUUGUCCCAAGGAACAGUGCUGGGCGAAGGUGCAAAUGAAAUAUGCCUGCCCUGGGGAGGUUAGAUUGAUUCUUGCCGGACCAACAGUUUGUAGUGAGAUGGGAUUGCUUGAGGUGCAUCCGUCAUAACUUGCCUUUGGAACUACGGCCACAUCGUGAGCCCCAGUUGCGAAGUUAAAAACUGCAACAAUUUACAAAGUUUCACUACUCAUUUAUCAAGACACUCGAAAUCCUAACCUGUAUCAUCAAACUGAACACAAAAAAAAAAAUCUGAUGCCAAUUAUGCAAGAAUUUUAUAUUACUAGUUUCAUAGCAGCAUCGAUCCAUUCUAAGUCCAACAAAAACGAAAUCAAGAAAAGCUGCUAAACAAAUCUAUUCAGGGUUCAGCGUGCCCUGUGACAAAGAUGUAGGGGCAGGGUACAUAAAUAUCUCGUACGUACCUAAGAUAUCACCAACUUUGAAGGUAUGUUGAGAAGCCCAGUUGGGAUAGACCGAAGAACUGGAGGGGAUUGCCCAGCCCAAGCUGUCCCCGACCACAUGAGUUGCCGCAUCGGUGUUUCCUAGAAUAGCAGCGGCUAGAAUUACCAAAAGUGGAACUGCUGCAAAGGUGGUACUUGCAGCCAUAUUUUCCUCUAGCUAGAGGGGCUACUUAUGUGUUCUCAAGUCGACCCCUGCCUGAAGCUUUCUAAGCUUUUGCUAAUCGUGGGAUCCUGCUCAAGCGUUCAACAAGAACCCUUCCGUUUCAACCGGGGAAAUCAAAUACUAUAAUAGAUUAUAGAGAGAGAGAGAGAGAGAGAGAGAGAGAGGAAACACAAAAAGAAAAGGACGUGUGACGAGUAGGCUGAAUUUUCCUUGGAAGUGUGUGGGAGGAGGAAGAGGAUAUAGGGGGUCUCGAAAGGAUAGAUUCCACGUGGAGUGGUAAUAGUGCGUCAGUGGUAGCUAGGGAUUGGCUAUUGAAUUGUUGAGCUGUUGCUGAACGAUUACCCGCAUCAGCAAUUCAGCAAACGGUAGAAACACGGAGAUUUUUGCUCCAACUAGUGGUCUUCCAACUCAACUGUUCAUCGCUCGGUGCGUUUGACUGGGGUUGGAAAAUGCUUUGCCCACAAACAUUGCAAAAGAGGCCUUUGAUUUUUCAAGUGCCUAAUGAAUGUCGGGCGGUGUUAGUGUCAUAAUCUAUAAAUUUUGCUAAUUCUUGAAUAAAAUACGAAGCUUGUCUUUUUUCAAGUCAAAAUGAAACGUAGAUUGCAAAAAGAAGUCAAAAUUCCGACCGUGAUAAUAUCAUCAUCAUUUGCUAAUGCACAUGCGUGUCCGAUCUUCACAGGCGUGGAGUUGCUCUUACCAAAAAUAUCAACCACGGAUAUGGUCGUGCAAAUUCAAGCAGAAAUCCUGGGUGGAGAACGGAAUAGACAGCAAAGCAUGCCACCUGAUGGGCAUGGCUGUAGCCUGUAAUGAAGGGGUACGAGAGUACUGUAUUUUCACCGGGAAGCGUGACUUUUCUAGUAUUUGGAGUUAGUCUGCCGUCGGUCGGCAUGCCUUUAUGAAAGUGGUGAUCAAGGCCCACCACGCGUUUUUACCGGUUCAAACUUUAGAAGUCAGCACAGACCGACCGCUUUCUACAGUUUUUUUUUUUUUUUUUUUGGUGAAAGAGGACGAUUAAUAAUUAUUAUAUAACUUAUCUAUUUUAAAUUAGAGGGAGACUUUGUAUUAGGAGCUAAUAGAUACAUAAAUUUUACUAGAUUAAGAGAGUAUUUUAUCUUAAUUUUUAGAAUUUAAUUUACUAUGAAUGGGAUCUAAACCCCCACUAACAGUCCAAACAGGAUUUUAAAACCCAAGCUCAGUGGUUACCGCUUUCUACAGUUGAAAUGUCGAACAAAUUAGCUUAUGGUUCUGAACACUGAACUACGAGAAGAUAAGAGUGUGUUAUCCCUUUGAAAUGUCAACGAAAUCUAACGGCUUAAGGGUCACCAUUUGUCCCGAAGAUGGUUGGCUGAGGAACCCUCUUCACUUCUUUUUUGUUUGGCAUGGAGUCGUUUCGUACGAUACAAUAUGAGCCUAGUGAAAAAAUCUAAAUACAUCAAUAUAUAAUAAAUAUUAAUUUUUUUUCGCAACAGCGACAAUCUACUGCACUACUGAUUUUUUUUUUUAUUGUUUUAUAUGGAAUCUUUUUGUUUCGUAUGGAGUCGUUUCAUAUAAUAUGAGUCUAGUAAGAAAAACUAAAUAAAUCAAUACGUGACAAAUAUAAUUUUUGCUUUUUUGCAAUGGCAACAAUCUAGUGCACUGCUAUACUUCCUUAUCAUUUCAUGCAAUAUGAGCUUAGUAAGAAAUAUCUUGUUCCAAUACAUUUGUCUUUACAGAAAGUAAGCAUGUUUUUGCAAAUAAACCUAAUCCCCACAGUAACUUCAAAAGCCGGCAACUUUUAAAGUCCUGCGAGGGACUUAUCUACCCAAACAUCCCAACCCCCCAACCGAUGUGGGAUAGAAAACCCCACAGGGUGCCCUGCUGCUAAGAGAUAUCUAAAUACAUCAACACAUAACAAAUAUAACUUUUUUUUUUUGAACUACAACAAUUAAGUGCAUUGCUAUACUUCCUUGUGAUGCAUUAAACAGACUAUUAUACUUUUUUAUGAUGCACUAGACAUAAUUUAAAUCUCACACCUAGUGUGCGGGAGAGAUUUAAAGUGGCUCUCCUCGACCAUUGGACCAAUGCCCAAUGGUUACGUAACAACCAUUAACGUGAAGUAUUCAACUGAACGAAGAAAACCUUCUAGUCCAAUUUCUUGAUAUACAUAUCAUUGUAGGCCAAUUGACAAGGACUUGGGUAGUGUUUUCUCUGGCAAUGACCAAAAGCCAUAAAAGAUGUACAGUCCACAUCCAUGAAGGAACCAAGAAAUACAAAUCGGACAUGCCAUCAAGUUGAAGGCACUGAGGCCAUGCCUUUAUGCGCGGCGGGCCGGGGAGCCAAGCUUGGUGGGGGUGAAAAGAUGUUUGUUCUCCCCCCCCGGCGGCGGGGGCGGGUUUUUUGAUUCAUUGGCGUAGUCAAAUUAAUGGCAUUUUCCAUCCUAUAGAAAAAGAUCUUCUUUUUAUUUCUUUAUUUGAAAAAAUAAAAGUAAAAAGUGAUGACAUCUGAAGCUUUAGCCUUUAAGCAUCUUUAAAAAAAAAAAAGGUUUAUUUUAUAGUUGUUUAAAGCGAAAAUUGAGAACUGCAAAAACAAAUUCUAUAGGAGAAAAAGUGCUCCUACAAUGGAAAAUUAGUGAGGGCAAUUCUGCUUGCAUCCUUUAAAGUUUGUACAACUACAAAAGUCUACUUUGUGUUACCAAUUACUACGUUGAAAUCCCCUAUUAUUUGUUUGACAUUAUGGUUAAAAAAGUAAUGGAUAUAUUUUCGCUGGAAUUACGUUGUGUCAAGAUAAUCUUGAAGCGCAACAGAUCUUCUGUCUCACAUCCUGUGUCACUCUCUGUCCCACUUUUUAUUAUAUUGUUAUCUCUCCUUCAUAAACAGCAUGUUUUAAUUCUUUUUUAUUUUCUUAAAAUCCAAUAACUAUUAAUUCAGUAAUACACAAAAUUUAACAAAUUCAAAAAAUAAAAUGCAUAAAAAAUGAGAUUUUUUAUGAAUUUUCUGCUGUAUUUUUAAUUUUCUAUUAUAUAUUACUUUUUUUAAGCUGUUGUAUUUAUUUUUUACUGAAUUAAUAAUUAUUGGAUCUUAAGGAAACAAAAAAAGAAUUAAAACAUACUGUUUAUGAAGGAGAAAUAGUAAUAUAAUAAAAAAUGAGACAGAGAGUGACACAGAAUGUAGGACAGAAGAUCCGUUGCUAUCUUGAAGUAAUGGAACAUCUUAAGAUAAGAUAUAUCAACAUGGAGAAGAAGGCUUAGAAAAAUGGAGCUUCAAAAAUUCGGAGGAAUUGUUACCAUUAAACACGUACAGAGGAAUUAAAUACGCCAUUAGCUAUCAAAACUGGCUUUUGGGGUACGAUCAAAAGGUUUCCUUUCCAAUAGAAACUCGACGCUCUUCUUCCCCGGGGUCCACCUCUCUAUGCAGAUGGCAAUUGAGGAAACUGCCAACACCUUCCAAUCAGAAUCAAGGCAUAUUUUUACUUUGUAGAGAAUUUUAGAAAAAAAAAGGUGUAUCAGGUGGAAUAAUUCACCCACUAUUUAUUUCCCAUAAAAGAAAGACAAGAAGAGGCCGUUCACAUCUAUUUCCUAAUCAUCUCCAACCAACCCAAGUCAAGAUGAAAUUAUUUUUGGAGAUCCAUAUGUAUAUAUUUAUGCUGCUCUCUUUUUGGCAAAAAAGGAAAGAUUACACCAAUUAUUUCUCACAUAUUGUUGAUGAUAAAUUUAGUUCAUCAAAUUCAAAAUGACCAAUUUUAGUUCCUAAUAAAUAAAACUCACAUAUUUUUUACGUGGUCAGUAUUUAAAAGGCAACUCUGAUAACUCACUUAAUGUUAACUUAAAAUUUUCACUUAAUCUACUAUUUCUCCUAAUUUUUCUUCACUCAAACCCUUAUUUCACAAAUCCAAAAAUAUAUACACACACCUCCCACUCUUACCAUCAUCUUCCCCACUAUUCCCAUUUUCACUUACUGUCACCUUUGACCUCUUCUCACUCCUUUCUUGCCACCGCUUUCUCUUCUACCUCUCUCUUCCUUAGUUUUCUCCUACUUCUCCCUGCUCAUUUUUCUCUAACCACCACUCAUCCUGCCACCUCUUCUUAUUUUCUUCCCUCCUCUUUCUUUCCUACUCUCUCCUCCUUUACUUUCCCAUUAUUCCUUGCUUUCUCUUUUCUUCUUUCUCUUCUUCUUCUUAACUUUUGUCUCUCCAUACUCCCCUUUUCCCCAACGAUUUGGUUGUGUUGCAAAUAAGGGAAAAAGAGAGGCACCAGAGAAGGAGAAAGGGGAAAAAAGAGUGGCAAGGAAAAAAAAAUGAGACAAAAGAAUGAUAAAGUGGGAGAAGAAGAGAAGAAUAGAGGGAGAAAAAAAAUAGGUGAUAGGAGAAGGAGUGAAAGAGAAUCAAGAGUGCUGAUGGAAGUAAAACGGUGGUGAAAGAUGAAAAUGGAUGUGUGUAUUUUCAGGUUUGUGAAAUUAGGGUUUAGAUGGAGAAGAAUUUAGAAAAAUGAUAGAUUAAGGUUCCGUUUGAUAAAACUGAAUCUGAAUUCUGAAGUCUGCAUCCUGAAAUCUGAAAUCUGAAUACUAAAACAAUUAAUUUGCUGAAUUUUAAGCACUGAAAAAAAUAUAUGAAUGUCUGAAUUUUAAUGCUAAACCUAUUUAUACUGUUUGAUAAAUAUUUAUAGCUGAAUGCUUAAUAAGUUUAAUUUGACAAUUUUGCCCUUAUAUCCUUUCAUUCAAAAAAGAAAUAGAAUCUAUGAUUUAAUUAGUUUAAAAGUAUUAGGUAUGAAAAUGAUAAUAUUUAUUUUUAAAUCAAAUUAAUAUAAAAGAUGAAAUAUAUUAUAUGAGGAGUAUGGAGAAGAUGUGAAAGUCAUUAAAAAGAGAGAAAAGGAAAACUAAAAAUCGUUAGAUAAAGAAUAUUAUGUUGUUUAAUUAGAUGAGAAUUUUGAACAUAAUUAACAAACAAAGAUAGAUUUGGUAGAUAAGAUAAUAUAGUUAAAAUAAUUCUAUUGAUUUUUAUCAGAAUUAAGCAUUCAAUUAGGAUUCCUGUACUGAAAAAAAUACACACAGGUUCAGCACUGCUUAACAAGUUCAGCAAAUAGAUUUUCAUUUAUCAAACACUCAAAACAUCUGAAUGUCUGAAAAAAUUCAGAUUCAGCACUUUUUUAUGUUAUGAAACAGACCAUAAGUCAGCAAUUGUAUUAAGUAAAUUGUCUGAUUUGGCAUUUAAAUAUUGACCAUGUGAAAUGUUCUAACUUAUUUCGGCCAAAAUUUGACUUGAAAGGCAACAAAAGACCAAAAAAAGUAUUUUAGUCCUAACAAAUAAAAAAUACUUUUUUUAAUUCCCUAUAGAAAAUUUUGGUAAAUUUUCUAUAGGGAUCACUAAUACGACGAAAAUAAAAUAAAGAAUGGUUUGGUUAACAGGUGCCUAAUGAGCCGCCGUUAAGAGGGGUCUUAAGUAUUACUUUCUAGAGGGGUUUCAAGUAUUAGUUCUUUAGAUAAAUUUAGAGGUUUUUGUUUAAUGAUUAAGAUUGAAACUUUAGAAUUUAAAGGUUCUUUGAUAAUGUUAUAGGUGUCAAACAAAUCUAUUUAACUAAAUUUAUUCAUAUUCGUCCAUGAAUAGAUGGGUAUGGAUAUUUUAAAUUUUUAUAUAUGGGUAUAAAUAUGUUAUCCAAUAAUACCCAUUUAAUAAAUGGGUAUAAUACCCAAUAAUACCCAAAACCUUAAACUCAUUUAAUAAAUGGGUAUAAUUGAGUAACCAACCAAAUAUAAUUAACCCAUUUAGAAUUAUUUUUACAAUCACAUCUAUUUAGAAUUGUCUUCAGCAAUAAUAUCCUAAUUUCUUUAUCACCUUUGACCAAAGGUAGCAUCAAAAAGUGGAGAACCAAACGGAAAGGUGGGAGAAUAUGUUGGCCAAUUUUUAACUUAAAGAAUAACUAUGCACUUGGAGAUUUUUCUGUCCUGUUUUCAUUUGUAUUUUCCUAGUAUCCAGUUUCAAGUUCAUAAGUUGGUCAAUCACUGUUUAAUCUAUCUUUUUCAUGGUUCCAAAUCCUUUCCCUAUUGCAAAACAAAAAUAUUCUUAUUAUUCAAUUAUUAAAUAGUAUGUAAUUUUGUCACAUAGCACAUAGAUGGGGAAAAAAGUUGGUAAUUAGAUUUAUCGGGCAUUAUAAGUAAAUAUUUUAAAAUUAAUGAUGGGUACAAACUGCAAAUGGUGGUAUCAAUUGAUAAUUUAGUGUAUAAAAUAAAUUUAGAUGAGUUUGUAAAAAGUUAAAAUAAAUGGAUUGUAAAUGAAUAAUUGGAUUACUAACUCAUUUUUUGACUUAUUCACUUAUAUCCAUCUAAUUAAAUGAGUAUAAAUGGAUUGACUCACUUAUAUCCAUUACCCAUUUUAACCCGUCCAUGUUACCCAUUUUAAUUAAUAAUCAGCUCUCUUUUUCUCACCUUUUUUGGUUCCUUGCGUACCAAAUUUGGAAGACAAAAGGAGAAUCAAAAAGGAAAAUGGAAAAGCUCAAGAAUACAAACCAAUGCUAGAAAGUUUCUUCUUGAAGUUAUGGGUCAAAUUUGGUUCCUUCUUAGCCUCAAUCACCUGGAUCAUUGUCGGCUUUACACUUUGCUGAACAACCGGAUGGCACUCAGAAAUCAGUAAACUCUCGAAGCAUCGGAUGCCCAUACAAAGGUAAGCAAGUGAUUCGGAUCCCAUAUUCCUUUGGAUAAAAUAUCAAUUAACAUAGCAAAACUUAUUUGGUUAAGGCUCCGAUUUAUAUCAAUUUCGAGCCCCCCAACGAAAAGGGUAACACACUCAAGUCAAUUCGGAGACGGCAAUUAUCGGAUGGAAGAGAAGACAAUUACGUCAACUCCCCGUUAAUAUCAUCAAUCCAUAGAUUCAAAGUCUUCGAAGUCGCCGUUUUACGACCGACAUUGCCGUUCCCAUAAUCCGGACAACCGCGUUUAAGAGUCCGAAGCCAGAUAAAUCCCAAAAGCCAGUCAACCAUUUUUGUCUUUUCAAGCACAGGGUACUAAGUUUAACUUAUUAUCCAGAUUAACCUCGGCCGCCCCGGCCACACCAAAAACCGAAAAAAAAAAUAUUAUAAUAAUUAGGAGAUUUUUAAUUGAACUACAUGGACAAGAUAUUAGACACCAAGUUUAUUGGACAUAGACAUGUAUACGUUGGCCAAACAAAUACUCCAAACGAUCAGCAACUUCGAAAGAAAAAAGAGGAAAAAGAAGUAAUAUGUUCUUUUAAUGCACUGAACGUGACAUUUGAUGGCAGCUAAUCUACAAGUAUAAAGAUUUUUCCUACUGCUAAUUUGGUGUGAAAAUUCAAGCAUUGGCCCCCAACCGAAAAAAAAAAAUGGUGGUGUAGUUUUAUUCCAAUCAUCCACCCACUUACAAAAUCAAAAGAAAGACUACACUUGAGACUGCUAAUACCAACGUUUUGGACCCAAACCUCCUUCCACCUUGGAUUUCCUGAAACAUUGCACGUCAUCAAAUUUAAUAUUGAUAGGAGGAUAAACUAUGAAUCAAUCAAAACUAUAGAAACAUGACAAGGACUUAAAAAAUCUCUUGCUCAAGUCUCUGGCUGACGGAGGGAAAAAAGAAAAAGAAAAAGAAAAAGCCCAUCACUUUGAACCAAACAUUGAAUUGUAUAGCAUAUGCUGGUGAUACCCAAGAACUGAAAACGCAGAAAGAAACAUUUGAAAACAUAACCCUUUAUCUUGCUAAGAUGAAUUGAGACAAGUUGCCCAAAUGAUAAUUUUUCAUGCUACUUUUAAAAAAUUAGAGCUGCAUAAUCUUUUCUCCAACGCCAGGCGAAAGCUGUGGCUUAUAAUGUCAGUGAGAGAGUAGGACACUGAAUUGACAGUUCGAGAAGUCAAGAACAACACAAACUCAAGACGACAAUGAGUAACAAUUUUACCUCCAUUUCACAUGCAUCUGCAUAAACUAGAGGAUUCCAGGAAACAACAAAAAAUUUUGCCUUUCCAGUUAAAUUGAGGUAAUGUUUAACUCAAGAAUUGACUAAAAUGACCGGGAGUUCGUAAAACAUUAAGCUAAAAGCAGAUUACACAAUAAUUAGGUUGGUAGAUAGACAAAAAUCCAUGGCUGGGUCAUAUAUCUGCCAUGCUCCCAUGCCUUGGCCCCACACAUUAUAACAUUUAGACAAUUUAGAUUAUCAUAAAUUAUCUGAAGAACUCAGUUAUUUUGGGUGGUCAAGUAUAGAAGUUAGAGGUGAGGAAGUAUUUAGACAAUUUAGAUUAUGAUAACACCUCAGUCUUCAAGAAGCCUACCAGUACCAUCCAGCAAGCCCCUUUUCAUUUGCACAUACUUUCAAUCAAUAGACCUCCAAAAGGGGAUAGUGUUGCAAAAGUGUUCUACUUAAGGUUCAGCAUAUUACAAGUUAGCAUAGUAUUGAACAACAUGAUUAUUACGAAAUUGUUCAAGACCUUUUGAUCAGAAUUAAGUAGGUAUAUGAGAUAUCAAAAGAGUAUUGCUUACUCAUUACAAAAUUUAGUUAUGCAUUCAUGAAAAGAGGAAGUCAACGUCAACAUUGAGAACACUUGUCAAUAGGAAUUUUCUUUUUGCAAGGAUUUACAAAAAGUUCAACUCAUUAUAUCUGUAAAAAAAUGUAGGAACUGAAACCUUAAAAGACAAACCUUCAAAAUCCAUAAUUGAUUAUUCUUUCAAAUUAAACUUUGUGCAAAAUCACAUACUAAUAUUUAUAAAAGGUGCCAUCAACAUAUAAGCUCAUGAGAAUGAGAUGGUCGAGCAUAAGAAGUAUAAAAGACAGUUUGGUGGUGCUUUGAAUGAUAUCCAUUUUCAGGGAUUCAAAAAUUUACAAGACUUUCAAACUCAGAGGAUAUUGUUUGACAGAAUCACCUGAAAAAAAACAUAUCCUAAGAAUCUUUAACUCUAGCCCAUGAAUUCUUGCAAAAAUUGCUUACAAUAACAUAUCAGACAAUAGCACCUAAAAAUUAACAUACUUCCUAGAUCCAGGAUAGGUUAGCAAACAUGAUUUAUUACACACUGAAUUUGCUAAGCUAAAAAAGAUGUUAUUCAAGGCUAACUCCUUCGUUCCUAGGCUUCAACAUCUUUUCUAGAAAACACCAGCCCCAUACCCUAACCCCAUACCUAAGAAUGAUCUUCUUAUCCAAAAUAGAAGCGAUAUAGUCUGUCAGAGCCAUAGCAUUUAGGUCAUCCUCUGAUUGCAUAUUUCUGUUGAAAUGUUUGUAAAUGGAAAUUUUAAAAGACACAGUAUGCUGAUAUCUCAGAGGAGAAAGACAAUUUUUUCUGUUCAAAGAUUUCAGAGUUGCAUAGCAAAAGAUGCACACUUCGCCAUACAAACUGUUUUCAUGUUAUAGAGAAAACUGUUCCAAGACACUAUAGGGGCAUAGAAGUGGCUCCUUUGGUUCUUGCCCAAUUAAUGAUUUCCAGAAUUUGAAAGCAUAACAGGUGAUUUCCUUUCCUACAAGUGUUUUUAUCAAUAGAGAAAGGAUAUUUUUGCAAUUUCACAAUCUCUAAGAGAGUAAUAGGUAGUGUGGAAUCGCAGGGAUGCUGUUUUGUGAAAAGGUCAAAAUCUUUUUAGACAUCUUGAGAACUCAUAAGGGUAGAGAUUCUGCAAGCCAACAGUUGUUAUUACGUACUAGACUGGUUAAGAAAUGGUCAAGAAAUACCAGACCGGUAAAUAAAUGGUCAAGAAUGAUUUGAACUUCAGCACAUAUGUUAUCCUCAAACUCCUGAAUGCCUGAUUAGACAACCAAUAAGGGAGCUGGGUCUUCGUCCAACAAGCUUCUGCACCUCUGAAGUUAAAACGACCUACUAUCUUCAGUGCCCCAAGAAAAGCUAGAUCCCAUCUUCAUACUACUCCUUUAUUACCAUCAAUUGUUUCAUCAAACAAUUUCAAAGUUUUUACCCCAAUUCCGCAAAAAGGAUAUGCUAUGAGUGUAACUAUCAUAAUCCUAAAGAUAAUAAUUAAACAAAAUCCAAAGAAUUAUGUCAAAGUUUACAGAGAACACCUGAGAGGAGGCAAAGUUCAAGAGGUAUAGCCGAUAACUAAUCACAAUAAAGGCAUAUGAGGAUACCUUCAAAGAAACUGCAGAUGAAGAUUUAAGUCCAGGAAACCCAAUGUCAUAUGAAAUGCUCAUGUCAGGUUUGUAUAGUCCAUAGUUCUUCUCAGAAGUUGCACCAGGCUUUUGAUCUUCAUUAAACAACGCAAAAAUAUAUGCUUUCAACACAGAUUUUGGCCUCAAAGGUGUUCCCUUCUUCUUAGCAAGCCUUUUCCGCAAAUUAUAAUUGUAUGUCCUAGCAUUGUUUUGUGUGGCAGCGGGCUCAUUCUGGUCCCCUUGAGAAGCCCAUCCUGUCUCUGUAAUUAUAACUUCCAUCUUUUUAUACCCAGCAUCUUCUAAAGCAGCAUAAGCUGCAUCUAUCUGAGCAUCAAGCAAAUUAUCAUAAUGAAGGUUGGUUUUCUGAUCGUAUAUACCCUCAUUUGGCUGAAAGAGGGCAUAGUUUACAUCAAUUUUGUCCGAGGCAUAGGUGUAAGCCAGAAAGGGGUAAGCAUUUAGACAAAAAGGGGACUUGAUUUGAGAAAAAAAGUCCAAGAGCGGCUUCAUAUAUUGAGAAACACCCUCUUUGAAAGUACAGUUGGAAGGAGGGAAUGAAUUGUCGAAAACACCCGAAAAAUGAGCAGUGGAGAUCUGAACAAUAUCAUCUAUCCCCAACUUUUGGGUUGCAUUAUGGAGAUUUUUAACUGCACCCAGUAAAGAUCCCCAAAGAUCGGAAUUAGCACCAUUUCCCAGAAUUUCGUUACCAACAGCAAUCCCAACAAUACGCGUAUCAGGAAGAAAUGCCUUCACAUUAUCUUUGACCCAAGUCAAUGCAUGAUCUACGUUAGUACUCAUUUCCUUCACAUGGUCAUUAGGAAGUCCAAUUAUUAACUCAAGUCCAGUGCCACUAAAGCCCUGGAGAACACUAUGAUCCGCAUCAUAAAUUCUGACAUUCUUUAUCUUUGCUGCCCUAAGGAGUUUAGCAACUUCGUCUGGUGGAGGAAGGUUAUCUGCAAUUCUCCCGUAAUUGAUUCCAUAAGUUCCCGUGAAUGCUCUCACUGUGAGCUUUGCUGAAAUGAAAAACAAAGGAAACAGUUGUAACCAAGAAAGAAAACUGUCCGUGACACCAUGAACCUGAAUAGUUUGAAUACAAACUCAUACAUUUGCAAAGGCUUCGUCUUUCAACCCAGGAUACAGUCAGCAACAAACACAGAUUUAAAUUAGACCAAUGGCCAACAAAAGUUUACACAUAAUUAUAUAAGAUCUUUAAUCAAAUCGAACCAUAUUAUUACCCCCCCCCCCAAGUCUCAAUACUAGUUACCAUUUCAACGGAGUCAAAUGGCGCUCACACAACACACACAUUCCCAUAGGCCACCAAUGUCGCAAUUAGAUAGUUGUGGCACAAGAGUAGCAUAUGAAGAGUAAAUAUACUGCCCAAUCAACUGCUGAUAUCUUCUUAAGCGCACAGCUCAUAACAUGUGAAUCUAAAUUACGAGUGCCAUGCAGACAAUUUAGAACUUCAAAAUCAAUUGAAAGUUACAGACUUAAGUCGUACAAACAAAAAAUAAAUGAGAAGAAGAAGCAGCCAACUGAUGAAAUUUCACCAAGAAUAAAAACCAAUUUCCAAUUUAAAAAUGAAGAGAUUGGGAAAAGCAAACGAAAAAGAGUACUUAGUUUUCACCAGCAGCACCAGCAGGAUGGAAAAAAAAUACUGUUCUUUGGACUGAUCUUUAACAAUUAGAAAUCAGAAAAAAGCAGAAGCAGAAAUCAAGAAUAAGAAAAGCUGUAAUCAAGAACAACUGAAGCGUACCAUUACCGGUGAAAAGGUUGAAGGCCAAGAGCAGAGAAAUGAACCGCACGCAAAAUUGAAGGAUCCUCAUUGAGAUACGUAACCAAGAAACCCCAAUAGGACGUCCCCGCUGUUGUUGUCUUGUCCUGCUGGUGCUACUGAUGUUCUUUCAAUUGAACAAUCCUUCCUCCUACUACUCAACCAUGCCAUUAACCCACUACCAAAAUUUCCUUCCUUUUCUAAUUUUCGCUUUUCUUGACAAGCAGUAAUAGUAUGGUGGCGCCAUCAAUAAUCAGUGCCGACCUUUUUUCUUAGCUCCAUCUUGUCUUGUCUUUUGGUUAGCUUUUCAACCAGACCCUUUUCACAUCCAACAAUAACUAAAAAAUAAAUCAGAUACUCCCAGAAAUAGUAGACUGAGCGGCGGCGGCGGUGGCGGUGGCGACGGGCGGCAGAGGGACACGGUGAUGGGUUUAGGGGUGGCUUUCUUUUCUCUAGUCUCGGCUGUUACUUUAAAUAAUUUUGGGUUUAAUAACUGAAUUUAAGUCGUGUCUACUCUCUGUAUUUGGAAUUUUGGUUGUGCUUUUUUCUUUUUGGUGAUUGUAGCUUGAUAAUGGAGAUUGUUGAGGCUGUGCCAGAACAGUAGAAUAGACUUACUAUUUGAAUAUGUGAACUGUCUGUGCGAAAAAGACUACUAAAACGCUGAUUCAAAACGAAAGAAAGGAAGACCAGUCCAGUCGAACUAUGUAUCCGUCUUGCCAUUUUUUUUAAUUAUAUAUUAUCCUUCAAGUGGCCACCACGCCCUUCCCACAAAGUCAUGUUGACAAGGCCCACUUUUGUUACUUUUUUGUUUUCCUCGUUUUUUAGAGACAAAUAUACUCUUUUCAAGGGAAUAAAAUUCGGUGUUUUGAGGAGGAGAACUAAUGGGAUUCUUUUAAUAUGAUUAUUAGCAAGUCACCCUUGGAAAAAUCAUUUGAAAUAAUAUAGCACUUUUUAUGAGAUCCUUAUAUUAUAUAAGAUUGAUUUUUGGUCAAAGAAUAGGUUGAAUUUCAACCGUAUAGGUGGGGGCUUUCUAGGAAUGUGAAAUGUUGUGUAUUAGUUUAAAAGUUUUAGGUACAAGUUAAGAAAGUAUAUAUUUGGGUAUGUUUACUGAAAUAAUCCCAUUUUAAUACAUUUAAAGUUGUCAUUAAUGAGCCAUCUGGGUAUUGAUGGAAUGUGUAAUUAGUGUACAACCGUUUUUGCAUUUUGUACAACUCAUAUAUGCUUGUAUGUUGGUGUAAUUACCGGAAUAUCUCUUAACUAUCAAUAAUUUCCCUUUUCAGUCGCAGAUAACCGUUUGAGAUGUUGCUUUAUCUGAAACGUUUGAAUGACAAUCGGAUUUAGGAAAUGAGUCAACGAUUUCUCUAUCAAUGGUAGGAACUCAUUUCUCUAUCAUUUAUAAUCUGCAUUUAUGAGCCACAAACGUUGGUCAGUUUAUCAUUUUUCAGCUUCAGGAGUUAAGUUUUCCCUUUUUGCCUUUGUCUAUAACGAUUUGUCUCAUCGUUUUCUCUUCCAUUCGAGCUCAACUCUAAAAUUACUUAUUAUUUCAUCAUUAAUUACACCCAAUUCAAUUGUCAAACCAUUGGUAUGUUAAUGCUUAAACGGUUGAUUAUCAGUUUCUCCCUGUUCGCAUUCUAGAAUUGAAAAAAUUCUACCUGGUUUCAUACUAAUCAGCUCAGAAUGCUCUUCAACCCCAACUACUCCUAUUGGAUCAGCAUGAGGUUAGAUUUCACCCCCCCAAUUUUUCAGUUCCUCCAUUAAUUUUUGUCGGUGUGUUCUUAGUACAUACAAUUAGCGACUCUUAUCGCGUUGCCUAGUUGCAAGAUAGCAUUUUUCGCGUUGCCUAACCCCAAUUAGUCUGGAUUGAUUAUAAUCUUAUAGAUUUGGAAAAACAGCAAUAAAGAUCUCUCGGUGGGGAUUCUAGAAUAAGGUUAGCUUUCUGUGUUGCUUCGCCUUUCUGCAUUAUCAACGACCUUCAAUUUCACAUAGUUUUAUUGUAAUGCUGUGUGAAUUGAUUGAUUAUAUCGUUUAUCUUUUCAUACUAAGUUUUAUUUCUUCUCACAAUGUACUAUUGUUUGUUCAACAAAAAAACCAUAUUGAGUUUGUUUGUGCUGACUUGGGGAACCAAAAUCAGAGUAGAUAUCAUGGAAAUCACUUAUUAAUUGCAGACCGUAAAUGGAAGGCACCAAACACCCGCGCGUUGUGCGGACACUCCCCCUAGUUAUGUCUAUGAAAUAAUAAGAAGGUAUGCAUUUAUAAUGCAACUAAAUAAUGUUUUUUGCAAAUAAUUCUUGAUCCAAACACACUUAUAAAUUAUAACUGGCCAUUAUUAUAGGUAAUAACUCACAAAUAGUAGAAUGAAAACUAACAUGUAGUUAUUAGAAUACACUUAUAUUUAAUUAUUGAAAUAGAAUGAAAUCACGCCUCUUGUCCAAGUAAAAUAAUAAUUGGCAUGUAUGGAUAGGAGAUUAAUUGUCCAAGCAAUAUUUUUUGUGAUAUAAUAUAUAUGAGAUAAAAAAGACAUUUAAAAAUAUAAAAAAAAGUUAGUUAAAAAUAUGUUAAUGAUGCAAAUUAAAUAAUAGGAUUAAUUGUAAUUUAUCUCCUUAACAUUUAUUUUAUGUUACUUAACCUCCUGAGAGACAAAAUAUCCCUCUACUAAAUAAUUUUUUCUCUUAUUUUGUACAGCUUUUUCUCUUUUUUUAUUUCAAAUUGGUUUUAUUUUAUCAAAAUUUUAUUUCUAAGAAAAUAAUAAAUUUCUCUAAUAAAAAAAUUUAGGAUGAAAAUUAUCUAAUUUACCGACUGAAAAAUUAUAUAUAUAUAUUACAUAUCAAUUUAAUCUAUUUUCCAAUUUAAGAAAAUUUUUUAUUCUAUUUCCUUAUAAUUACACUAUACACAGUUAAUUAUCCACUUUUACAAUCUCACAUUCACUUGUCAACGCUAGACUUUUUUUCCUAUAAUGAGUUUUUUAAUUAAAAUCUCAUUUUUUGGCCUUUUUAAAAAAAUAAUCAAUUGAUAGUGUAUUUCCUAAUAUAUGCACUGAUCUUAUGCAAAACUUUACCCACCAUCAAUUAAAGUCGUCAUGUGAGAACCCGUAUUUUUUUUCCAUUUUUUAGGUUUUAUUCUUUUUCAUGGCUUGUUUUCUGCAUUUUCGUGAGUAGGAAAAAUUCUAGAUAUUUUUAAGGAGCAGAUAUAGUUUUUAGAUGAUUUUUCUAGUAUCGAAUAGGUUUUACGAAAUUAAGAGCGUAUACCGGACGUGGGACCCACUAGUGCAAAAAGUUCAGAAAAAUUAGAUCAACUAGGUUAAGUUUUGGAUACUGAAAUUAAUUUAUCGGGUGUUAAGAGAUAAUUAGAGGAGUCCAAGUGGAUUGGUAUAAGAAAGACAAGUUAGGUAAGCAUUUAAUAAAGGUGACAAGUGUCACCAUUUGAGUGGGUUUAAUUUAGAAAAACUAUUCAUGGUCUUACCAUUUGACUUAAAUAAACCAAAAAUGACCAAAAAUCAUCAAAAAUCCUCCAUAAGUGGCCGGCUCUCUCUUUCUCUCUCUCUUACUCUAAGCACAAGGAAGAAAACUCUUCAAGUUUGCUCCAAAUCAUCAAAACCAACCAUUGAAACUUGCAAUUUCUCCAUAAAACCUCUUCAAUUAGUGUUUGUGAGAUGUUGUGUGGAGUUAUUUGGGAAGCUAGGAUGACCUAUUGCUCUCUCUCUCUCUUGUUUCUAAGGUGAGUUGUGAAGAACCACCCUCAUCCCUUAAUUGAUGCUUAAAUCAUGAUUAGUGGUAGUAUGAGAUGCAAUAUUAUGGAUUAUUUCUUGAUUUGUGGUUGAAGUGAUGAAGUUUUAUUAUUUUUGGGGAUUUUUCUGUUUUACUAUGAACAUGAUUGUGUGGCUAUCUAUGAUGAUUGGAAAUGGUAUAUAAUGACUCUAGGAGGUGGAAAAAGUGAUUAAUUGUAACCAAUUUCUGGUUUGGAAGAAAUUUCAGAAAAUUAGGGUUUUAGUGGGAACAUUCUGUCCGAAUUUAUAGCUCCUAGUUAGAGGCCGAAUUGGCUUUGGUUUAAAACAUAAAAGUUGUAGGGAAUGACAUUUUAGAGGUGUCUACAAAAUUUCAGGUCAAUCGGAGUAGUGUAGAAUGAGAAAAGUUGAAUUACUAUUGCUGUUCUGGUUUUACCCGAAUGUAAGAAUUGCGCCUGUAAUUGGUUGUUUUGGCUGGAAUUGCUUCCGAAUUGAUUGUUGAGGCCUUCUGAUGAAAUGUAGCCCUGUAUCUUAGAUUUCAGCUGGUUUUGGAAUUUCUGGAUUUGGACUUGGAGAGCCUGAGUUAUGAUGUUUCCGCUAGAAUGCGUUCUGUGAAUCUAUUUUACGGUUUUGGUGUAGUAUCUUGCAUUUUUGACAUGGUUACACUCAAAACUGGGUUGAGUGACCUUCUGUGAUGUUGUAGCCCUGUCUUUUAGCUUCGAAUCGGUGUAUCGUACACCUUCAUCCGAUAAUCAUAGUGAAAUUGGUGUCAUUACCGUAAAACGAGGUCAAAAACUAUUUUUUUCAGGGCCAAAGCUAAUUGCAUUUCCAAAUUUUCGGGUUUCCUCUAAUGUUUGGGGUCAUGUUUGGCCUUGGUUUAUGACUCGUUAUCGAGUCUCAUUAUACUUGUUUGCAUGUUUUAGGGCGUGACGGUGGUGUACAACGUUCUUUUGACGGAAGUGCAUGAAACCACAUUUGCGAGCUUGGUGAGUGUACUACUCACUUGUGUGUUACUAUAUGGCUUUGAAUGUAAAUUGCUUGAAGUGAAUUGAAUGUGACUUGAUUGAAGUGAAAGUGUACUUUAUCACUCUCACUUAUAUGCCUUAUAUCAUUGUUGUCAUGUUAUUGUAAUGUUACAUGAAAUGUUACAUGAAAUGAAAGUACUUGACUUGGUGUCGAUUGGACGAGUAUCCAACGACUACAAAUGUUAUCAUUGAGCUCAACUCCAUUAGUAGUUGAUUGAAUCGAGCCGGCGAGAGCUUGGUCGUGCCAAUUAAUGAACCUUGGGUAAAGUUAUAUGGAAUCUUGUAGUAUGCGAGACUCUCGAUUCCGGUAUACUCGAGUAAUACCAAAGUGCAAGUGUUUGGAUUUCGGGCCCGGUAGGGGGAUGUUAGGUGGAAGGAGUGGAAGUAAAGUGGAGUCUACGGUUGGUUACUUUUGAACAUUGACGGAGAGUCAAUGACGUCCGAUCAAGAAAUGCAAACGAGGAAAGGGCUCUUGAGAGCCAUCUGUAUCAUUUUAUCACCAUAUUUGACGUGUGCCUUUGCUUAAUUUUACUAUAUUGAAUGAAAGCUUGAUGCUUAUAUGCACUUGGUAGCGUAAGUGAUAGUAUCUCACUGGGCAAUUAGCUCACACCGUUCCUUUUGUUUUCCUUACAGGAAUAUGACUCUUUUUGGAAUGAAUCUUGAUAGAUGGUUGCCGAAUGAACUAGAUGUAUUUUGUAUUGUAUAUGAAGUGAAACCCUAAAUGUAUCUUUAGGGCCGUUUUCACUUUCAAUUUGGCAAACCGUAUAUAUAUUAACUUUUGAAAACUUUUGUAUGCCACUUUGGGUUGUAAUUGCUAAAGUUCAAGAUGUGAAUGUUUGCUUGCUAUUUGGUUGGAUUCUGACGGGUCGGUUACUAUUCAUGACCGACUCCUGAUUUAUUUUUUUUAUUUAGGGUUAUUUUGCCAUUUUGACUCGUUUACGCGCGUUUGUAAGUUCCGGAACGCGAUAGACAGCUCUAAACUGCACCGUUAGUCCUGGCGAGAGUUGGGCAGGCAGUCCGCUAACCCCUUUGGUUCGCCGUAGGGGAAGAUGGGGCUGUCACACGUCAAAACUAUAUCGUAGGUUAAAAUUUGAUGAUUAAAGGAAGUAGAUAGUUUGAAAAUUAAAAUUUAGCAUAAUAGAGAGGUAUUUUUGUCUUUUAGGAGUUUAAGUGAUCAUUAAAAAAGGUUAGGGGGUAAAGUGAAAGUUAAGGUAAAUCUUGAGGGGAUAAAUUGUUAUUAAUCCUAAAUAAUAUUAGAAAAAAAUCCAUACUCCUUGAACAAAAUAAAGAGCAGGAUGAAGAAACAAACACCCCACCUAUUAGCACAUGAAAUCUGAUAAACUACUCAAAUCUAAUCAAUCGAAAAGAUGAUGGAAUGUGUCAAUACCCCCGCGUGAAUGGUCCAGCGGUAGCACCUCCAACCGGUGACCCCUAGGUCCCAGGUUCGAGUCUCUGCUCUGCUGGAUUUCUCGGCGUACAUAUCGUGCUUGGGCCGGGCUGGGGCGCCGGGCCCGGACCGCAGGGGAUUAGUCGGGCCCUGUAAGGAUUAACCUAGACACCCCUAUGUCGACAAAAAAAAAAAAAAAUGAUGGAAUGUGUCAAAGUUUAUAGAUGAUCCAUAGUGGAACUUGUUCGCUCAAUAGUAGGCUACAUUUUCCUCGAUUACUACCGUUUUUUUUCGGUUUGAUCGGGGAGAAUAAAGAUUUUACUUUAGCUUGACCUUAUACUAGUACGUAAGAUUUAUGUUUUUUUUAGGGGAAAAUGUUUAUGUUUAAAAAAGAAAAGAAACAAAAAAAGCUAUUGCCAAACAAAUCCAAGCUCAAUUGAUUUACUUUAUGGAGCCCAACCAUCCACAGUCAAGUUGUGAGGACUGCAAUCAACCCUUUUUAAAUUUUAAUCAUUAGUCAUUGGACGAUUUGUAGAGUUCCUUAGGAGCUACGACAAACACAACGACUCCCCACUUUCCAUGGCGUAAUAAUAAACGCGACAGUGGUGACAGACACAAAUCCGAACCUCUAUAACUGGUUUGUAAAACUAUUUUUAUUAUUAUAUUUAGUAUAAGUUUAUAUAAUUUUAAUUGAAUGGUGAAUUGUAAUUAUAUGAUUUAUAAAUUUAAGCUUAUACCUAAAUUAUAUGAACUUUUAUAAAAUUUUAUAAGAAUUAUGACAAUUAAUUUUGAAUCGGAGAAAAUUCAAGUUACACAACUAGAGAGGCAUACUGUGUAUCUUUAAGACAAGACUUUAUACAGUUUUAGGAAAUUUGUCUGAUUGAAAGGCUGAAAAGGAGCCCUCACGAGUAGCUCGAGCGGGACUGGUAAGUUCAUUUUUACGUAAGAUCCUGUGUUCGACCCCGUUGUAUUAAAAUUGCUGGAAACCUUGGAUAGGGCUCUACUGAAAAUUAGUCUGGACAAAAAAAGUUGGAACACACCCUAAGUGAAAAAAAAAAAGGGCUGAAAAGGGUAUAAUACUACUAAUGAGACUGUACCAUGUUGUCAAUUUGUUCUCUGGGCUCCCACACGCACCAAUUCUAUCGAGCCUUGUGACUUGUGAGCCUAUGAUCCAAUUUCCAAACGACGUUAUCAAUCCCCGUCCCCCCCUGCCCGUUGCCCUGUCACAUGUGACAUGGCACGACAUUGACCUCGUCCCAUCCUUCCAACUUCCAAGUUCCAACGAGUCAUCUUCGUCUCGCCUUCCGUGAAUUUUGAUUUAAAUAAUGCAAUUUCGCAAUUGAAUUUUCUUUUUCCCACUAAUUAAUUAUUCAAAUUAUAGCUCCCCUUUUUAUUGUAUUUUCAAGGACUUUUGGAAAUAUUUGUUUUUAAAAAAUAACGUUGUAAUACUCUUUUGCAACGUAAUAUAUAUAUAUAUAUAUAUAUAUAUAUAUAUAUGAUAAAAAAUUAAAAAACAUACUAAGAGAGUACACUACAAAUUUUUUUUCAAAAAAAUUAUUAAAAAAAAAAGAUCUUAGAGUUUUGCUCGAUUUCUUAAAGUUUCGUAGCUGUUUAUUGUAGCAGCAGUUCCGUAACUCUGGUUAAAAUCUAAAUAAAUGGUUAUAAUUAAAGGACCCAAAAAAAAAAAAAAACUUACCAACACGAAUAAAGUAGUGGAAAAUUCGAAGAUAUAGGGUUUGCGUCUCCUGCUUGCAUGACAUGGAACGCGAUGUUUCCUAGUGAAGAGGCUGAGUCGAAAACCUUUGUCAGCAGACUACUUUUUUGUCAGCAGACUACGCUUUUAAGAAUUACGCAUGGGACACGUAACUCCAAUCCUACGCGUUGCAGACAAAUCCUUCAUCGAUCCUUUUUGUUCGUGUAAAAGAUUCAAGAAUAUGCAAGUCAUUAUCGUCAAACCACUAAAACCUCUCGUACUCAAAAGUAGUAUUUCAAAGGAGAAAUUGAUAAAAAGAACAAUAGAAAAAGGUUAUCACAAUUGCAUGAUCACAUCGUUUUGUCAAUUACAAUACCCGGAGACUUGCUCAAGAAAUUGGUUGACUUGGGUACGGAGUUUUUCCGACUUCCGUUCCUAGAUUUGGAAUAUCUUAGCUCCUAAGGUUCGAAUUAAGCUCCCAAUAUAGGAGGAAAAGGAAAGAAUGUAGGAGUAAUAAACAAGAUUAGCGCGUCAGGCAACUUUCCACAUUGAACAAUCAUUUUAGUUAGCGCGGUUGGUACAAGUUGGCCAACCUCUAAAGUUUCAUUGGGGUAAUUACUUAGCACUAUGACUAGAGUUAUACUAUCUUAGCGUGUAUGUAUACUUUGUUUAGCUAUAGGGAGCAGUAAAGGGCUGCAGCUCCUUGCUAUAGUUUAAUUGUAAAAUUAAGGGUUAAAAACAAAAAAGUUCCCUGUGGUACACCUAAUACACAGAAAAGCCCCCCCGUAAUUUUAAAACAUACAAAACGACACCCUCAUGUUUUGAACUAAAUUGUAAACUAGCAAAAUUCGUUAAACUUAACGAAAUCCGAUAAAUUUAAUGGAAAAUUUAACGGAAUCUGGUAAACUUAACGAUAAAUUUAACGGAAUCCAAUAAAUUUAACAGUUGAGACCGUCAUUUUCGUUAACUUUAGCGAAUUCUGUUAGUUUACAAUUUAGUUCAAAACAUGAGGUGUCGUUUUGUAUGUUUUGAAAUCACGGAGGACUUUUCUGUGUAUUAGAUAUAUCACAGGAGAUUUUUUUGUUUUUAACCCUAAAAUUAAUCAUGCCUCUUCUUAAUCAUACAUGUCAAACACGUCUUUUUUUUUUUUUUUUUUUAACAUAAGUAAGAGAUUCUAAACCUGAACCAUCCACUUGUAAUUCCUUUCGACUUAUCAUCUAACUUAACCGUCCCACCACCAAGAGGGGCAUCAUUUGGUGACAGCAAAACUGAAAAAGAAUCCCACGGGUCUACCAAACAUUUUUGCGUUUUCGGACAUGAAGACAAGACGCCUUGGAAUAUCUAUUGGCGAAGCAUUAAUCAUAUCUGUUACCAUCGUCGCUUUAAACGUUGAUUGGAAUUAUUUGGGUAAGCAAGAAAGGUAGGUGAUCUUGAAUUUCUAUACGUGUAAACAUAAGAUAAUAUUAGAACAGCCCUUCACCAAAUCAAAGCAAAAAAAAUCAAAAGAUAUGGUGAUAAAAUGCUCGGCUGGGUGGAUGGGUACUUUAGCACGCUCAAAGUUUUGCCACUAUUAAUACAUAUUCCAUAAAGUGGAUCAGACAAGUGGCAAAAUUCGUCGCAAAACGAAGUGGAAAGUCGGAAGACCUUUUAAGCUGUCGAGCUUAGAAUAGUCCACUAGAUGAUUCCGCUUCUUUUAAGUUUUAACCACGAGGGUGGAUGGAUGGAUGUAUAGUACUUUUGCUUUUGCGUCUCCAGCGAUGGACUGAUUAUGAGCCGAAAAGGAUCCUUGAAAACUUUAGUGAAUAACGUCCGACUUUAAAGAAGCGCCUUUAAUGCUGGCUACAGAAGAAUGGAGCUUUAAUUCAUGUAGUAAUAGUACAUAAUUCAGCUGUUACAACUUGUAAAUAAAACCAUAAUGGAACAAACACUUUCUUAAUAAAGUUGAUCCAGACAUUUUCCCAGAAGUUGCUGACUGUCAUACAAUACCCGGAUUUUCAAGAACUCCUGCACCAGAACUAGGCCCAGCCCAGAACUUAAUAACACCACUGACAUCGGCCGCUGAUGGGUUGAGAUCUUCUCCAUUAUUUUUCUCUUUGUUUAUCUAUUCAUUUUUUUAUACUUACAUAACUAAUUUUUUGAGCAAUAAUUUGUUUGUGUCGAUAAUUUUAUUUUCACAAGUAAAUAAACAUAUUUAAAAAUCAAGCUCAUCCAUGAACGUUUUGUCAUUCAUAUCAGCUUCACAAGAAUCACAGCUACAAGUAUGGGCUUUGAAGAGAAAACACUUUUGUCCAAUAAUAAGUAAGGCCCAGUUUAGGUCCUAAAAAGGCUUAAAAGCCAUGGGUGUCGUAGACCAUUAGCAUUUCCCGAGAAUUGCUUGAAACUACGCAUUUUAAUUCGCCUUUGCCAUGCGUGAGGAAUUUGUUUGUCUUAAUAUCGUUGUGGUUUUCACUUAUUCCACGUUUGGAGCCGUCCUUUGUUUUGUUAUUAUCAUGUUUUUAUUUGAAAGAGUAACUUCUUAAUAUUUUAAUAUACAUCCAUUAAGAGAAUAUUUUAAAUUCAAAUGAUACAUAUAUAAAGUCAUUAAUGCCAUCUCAUCUAGACAUAAUGAUUAUCAUAUCUCCAUAAAAAGUUGAAUUCCCAAAAAAGACUCCAAUAUUAGAACGGAAGGAGCAGAUGGAAUAUGCACCGUUUUUUGGUGGAUAAUGGAGUACUAAUAUUUACAAAGAAUAGAGGUUAAUUGGGUCUCCCCAAUUUAACCCGCUAAAUGUCUCCAAACAAAAAAUGAUCUAAUUCAGUCGGUGGUUAACUAUUGUAGAUUCGACAUCUAAAUUUGCUCGGAGAUGUGCGUGCGCGGACACACAUUUUAAAGUCUAAUUUGAAAUCCAUGAGGCUGAGUCUUGCAAUUGGCCACGAAAGUGCAAACAUGAGGAAGCACUUUACACUAGGAAUGGUAAUGAGGCGGGGAAUCCUUCCCGUACCUCUCACUCCGCUAUUCAAACAUUCCCUCUGCCCCCUCGCUUGCUCCCUCGUCCCACCCCGCUUUCCCUUGGGGAUUACUAGAAAUUUGUCCUAUAAAGAAAAUUUAGCCAAAUUCUAGCCAACAAUCAAGUAUUUUAAAUACUAACACAUCACCAAGUCAUUGUGAAUAUAUAAUCCAUCGUAAUUUUACAAUAUUUAAUCCAAAAAAAUAAACAUAUAUAUACUAUUUGAAUAUAAUCCAGCAUAAUGAGACAAAUAUAACUCAAGUAGCAAUAAAUAAAAGUGUAAUUAGUUAUGAAUUGUUAAUUGGGAAUGAGUGAAGAGUUGAAAAAGAAUGAAAUUAGGGUUAGUCGUGAAUUGUGAAAUGUUAAGUGUAAAAGAAUAAAAAUGUAAUUAGAAAUUUAGUAUAAAUGUAUUAGUAUAACUAAUCAGUAAUUUGUAUUAGUAAUAAUAUAUAAUUAUUAGUAUAACAAAUAAAUUAAUUAUAUUACAUAUACAAAAUCUGAUAUUUAUAACUAACAAUAUAGUUAUGAUAACUAAUAAUAUUGAAUAUUAUAUAUAUAUAUAUAUAUAUAUAUAUAUAUAUAUAUAUAUGUAUUUUAGAUGGGUGACCAAACGGGUGUGUAAUCCCUCGUCCCCUGUCCAACAGAGGGAGAAAAUUAGCCCUUGCCUUAUAAUACCUGGCGAGAGCAUGCGCUACAAUUCCCAACCCUAUUUCACACUUGCUAUCCAAUAGAUUUAUACUCACCUCUGAAUUUAUACUUCACACUUGCUAUUCAAAUAUCUUUUUGGAGUCAGAUUUUUUACAUUAACACCACAUAUAGCAACGUAUUUGAAUGCAUGUUACCCGCGUAAAAGUUAUAAUUCAAAUUCAAAUAGGUAUUGAUUAUUAUGCAUUCAGACCCCCUAUUUAUAUCAUGUUAGUAUAUAAAAAAUUAUUUUCAUCUUUGCAGUGCAAAAAUAUAAGACAUAUACUUGAUAAUCCAAAGUUGAAAGCUGCCUCUUAUUUUGAUUGUCGUACAGGUUACAUUUUUUAUUAAAUGACUGCAAUGCCCUCGAACUCUUUAGUAAUGGUUCAGUUGACACCAGACGGCAUAGCCUAGCAAGAAAUCUCGUAAUCUUAUCCUCUAUUUUUCCCAACGUCCAAAAUCGCCGCUAAAUCUGACUCUUUGCCACUAAAACAAACUGAAACAAAAGAUAAAAAAAGAGAAAAGAGUACUAGAAAGAGUAAAAAUGGCAAGAGUGCUGCUCUCAAAUGCAAAUAAUCUCCUCCCAUGCUUCCAAUCACCAUCUUCCUCAACACCGUUAACAUCACUUCACCUUCACAAACAAAUCGUUAGGACUCAUCCCACCUCAUGCAAGUCAGCACUAUUGAAUCAAGAUUCUUCUUCUUCUUGUUCUGUUCUGACCACCAAGAGGAGCCUUUCCAUUAGCCUCACAACAGGGUUCCUCUUCUUUCUCUCUGGGAAAGGUUGUUCUGAUGCCAAUGCAGCUAUAUUAGAACCGGAUGAUGAUGAGGAGCUGUUGGAAAAGGUGAAGAAGGAUAGAAAGAAGAGGCUUGAGAGACAGGGUGUCCUCAAUUCAGCUGCUCAAGAGACAGGUCAACAAUCCUUCCCAAUAUUUCCUUGGAAUGUAGCCUCUAGAAAGUAUUUGCUACUUUGACUUUCAUGUCCUUUAGUUCUUUGACCUUGCUUCUUGAUUUUUUUUUCUUUUGGUUUUUGGAUAAAGUUUCGAUUAUUCUUUUCUUUCCGUAAAGUUUUGAUUUUCUUUUCUAUAUCAGUUGAAUUGACACUGCAAGGUAAAGGGAUUAAAAGACUUUAGUCUUUAAGGCUAUGGUAAAGUUGGUUGGAGAUCGUUUCUGUUUUUCUAACACAGAUAAAUUGAGUUAACAAAUUAGUUUUCUCAUAGAUCAACAAACAGUUGAAAUAUUCGUUUUUGCUGGUAAUUAGGCUGCUUUUGGAUGCCGCAUGAAGUCGAUUCCUCUUCGAAUUUAAGAGGCUUCUAUUGAAUCCUAGUCAUUCUUAUUGAAACAUUUCAUGUCAUCGCAAAACUCAAAAUUGGGGUAGGAAUGUGGAGAGACUUGAUUAUGGUUACUUUCAUAGGUGGUGAAUUACAGUUUAGCCUGCAUUUGCUACUACCUCUUGGCAGUUGGCAAUCUGCAAGAAUCUCUUCAGCAAGUAUAGUUGUGAGAAGAAGGGUAAUUACAAGCUUCUGCAGAAUCCUGACUUUUGUAACCUAAAUUUAUGCUGUCGAACAUAGCAUAAUUUACACUGCAAAUUUCUCCAAGAUUUUACUGCAAUAAAACCAACUUUGGAGGUACGAGGAUCCAAUUACCUUAAGUAAUUUGCUGGGCAGUAAAAAAGGAUAAUUUUUGUCCUAAAGGUUAGCUAUGAUCAUCUAUUGCAAAUAUUAUAUGCUUCCUGUUGGUUUCUCUGUGACAUUUUAUGGAUUGCAGAUUAGAAUGACUAGGAAAGUUCAGUAUGGAACAUUGGAGAAGAAUAAUUUGGGCUUACUAAAUCAAGCUUCAAGAAAAUUUUAAGUUACCAAAUGCUGUUUGCCUGCCCUAAGAUAACAUAAAAGCUAAAACAAUUGCGUGUAAUUAAGAGGGAGCGGGGGAACCUAUUUGCCUUCCUAGAUUGCUUUUGGUUGGAAUUCACCUGUAUAUGGAAAUAAUUGGUUUGCACUGACAGAUAAACAUGAUAGAGAAAAGGUCAAGCCUGGCGACAGAGAUCCCUUAGUUAUUUAAUGUACCAGAUCUAUUUUGUUAAUGACUUAUACAAUAGUAGUGAUCUAGAAUCAACUUAUAUGAAUUACUGUCCCUUAUACGGAAAAUCUAGUUAGUUGAAGCCGUUUGGCACAAGUGCUUUCACUCAUGAUGUAAGCGCAAAUACUCAGAAACUUUUACCCCAGCUGAACUGGUUUCUCACUGACUGGCAUGUAUCACCAGUGAACAUGAGAAAGCUUGGCUGUGUUUAACUAUGCAUUCUAAGAUCUAAUGGAUACUUAUCAAUAACAACCGUGCCACUCUUGGUUAUGUUACUAUCUUCAUGGAGUUGAAAAUUAUGAUCAAAGAUUACCGUUUGUGGGUUUACUUGUCCCUCAUGAAAGCAGGCACAUAAAUUUCAUUCAAGGGAUAGUGCUGCAUGCCAGUAAUAUUAUUAGCCAAGAUCUGAAUAGCUUUCAUAGUUGCUACAUCAGUCAACUGGAUUCUAUUAUUUGAUGUAAAUUUCCUUUUGCCCAUGCCCCUUGUAUUUUGUUUUAGCACAUAAUUGUGCUCCUAAUAUGCUUAUCUUCAUUCUUAGCUUGAAUUAAGUCCUUGGCGUGAAGUAAACUGAUGCCCUUAAAGCAUGACCUGAAUGUCGCAUUACGCUCUGAGCUUUUGGUCUCUGUCAUUUCUGGGAAUUGAUUAGCUAUUCUUUUUUAAUGCUGCAGGAUACUUGCAAGAGCUCGUUUACAAGCUCAGCAGAGUAGGCCAGGCAAUAGAGAAGAAUGAUCUUUCAACGGCUAGGUCAGUUCUUGGUCAAAGCAGUGAUACUGAUUGGGUACAAAAAGUUAAGUCAGCUUUCAAGAAGGUAUCCUAUAGAUAAUAAUACUGUACAUGCCUUACUGUGUAGAUCUUGUCUAUAUGCAUUUCCAUGCGUUAAUUGCCUAUCUUCCUGCAGUUGAGCUCUAGCCCUGAGGAGAAAUCCGAAGUAGAGACUUUUAGCUCCGCACUUGAUUCUUUAAUUUCAUCAGGUAUGUUCUGUGUGUUUGCAAGCGUGUUCAUCUUGGUUCCCAGCAAAGGGUUGUGACUUAUGCAUGAAAACUAGUUUGCAUUGUGCAUGCAAUUAAUAUUGAGUGGUGAAAUAGUUUCAUUUGUUGCUCUGAGAGAGCAAUUGAUCUGUAAUUUGCAGUGACUAAGAAUGAUAUUGAAGCAUCUAAAACAGCAUUUGUGGCAUCAGCAUCUGCUUUUGAAAAAUGGACAACCUUAACAGGGUUGGUUGAAAAGCUUAAGGGGCUUUGAAGAAAAUCAAUCUGGCCAGAGAGUUCCAGCAAUACCCCCAGAAUGCUUCACUAGCUUGCUUCUGGCUCUAACUCUAGCUGGUUGACUGCUGUCAUUAAUGAUCGCAAAAUUCUUUUAAUUCCAUGAGCUGUAUUAACUUCUCCAGCUUUAUGGUUAAGUGUUAAUGACAUUGAAAAUUUAGAUGUAAUUAUUCUUUGAAACCACCUCGACCACGCAAUUAAUUGAAUCAUUUCACAUAUUUGCGAUUCAAUGACCUUGGUUCUAUUGAAGUUGUUUCCUUUUUCUUUUGCGGUUGACUAAUUGGUGUUCGCCUCAACCUUGAACGGAAAUUUGGAAUAAAUGGCGCAUGUUGACAGUCACUGCCUUUCUCUUUUGCAUGAUUAACUAAGGGAUGAACCACUUCUUUACGAAAGAUCGCGUAUUUAAAUUUUACGAUGCAAUGUAAGUUUUAUGUUGGUGGACCAUCCGUAAGAAUUCCUAUAUGCGGUGCGUCCUAAUCCAUGGUGACUACUAGGGUGGAACCAUCCAAAUUUUUUGUAUAUUAAAAAAAAAAGUCUUAUCAAGUAGUAAUACCCCAAAAAAGUGGGGGACCAAUUCUUUUUGGGCACUCAGUCGCUAUGCAUCUCAUGGCCUUUUAACUAGCUCAACACUUUCUGCAACGUUUAGACACCCAUCUCCCAUUGGUAUCAAAACUUUAACUGAAACAGCGAUGCUGACUGCCUGAAGAAGCUUGUCAAAGAGGAGCCAGCUCAUCUUAAUCACCUCAAAAAACUGCUGCAAAACAACUAACCUACUGAUAUCCGUAAGCUUGCGAGCCAAGGAAACUCGAGUAACUGAAGAUGACUUAUUAUAUCAUUACAUAGACACAGUUCUGAUCGACAUGUUACAGAGAUCUAUGCAACCUACAAUUCCUUCAAUGCAAGGAAGGUUGGAAUGUUGAAGGCCUACUCUAUAAUGUAAGGUAGUAAUGUUACAAAGAUCUCAGUCACUACACGUUCAACGAAAGACAGCAGCGACAUUAACCUGCUAAUCUAUGAUUUUACAUACUACAGAUGUCUCAUGAACAAUCGGAGUAUCUAUUACUCAACAACAACACUACUGUCAUUCAAAAGAAGCCACCAGCCUAUGAAGGUCAGAACAAGAUAUUACAUAAACAGCAUUAUGUUUGAUAAAUUCAAGGCUUGGACUUGUCAACCUCUGCACGAUCGCCAUUCUGUAUCACACCUCCCUCAGCCUUUUCGCUCACCAAGCUACUUUGCCCAUCAGCGCUCCUGUUUGCUUCACUAUUCUGCUCGACUUUCUCUUCUGCUUCCACUUCUUGCUUCUUUUCUUCAGCACCAGUUACCUGCUUGUCUCCUUCUCCAGUCCCAUCCUCUUUCUCCGCUUCGAUGGGUGGUAUUUGCUGUUGUUUUUCUUUGUCCUUGGCAUCUUCAGAGCCAUCAGAUACCUUCCCAACCUGGGACUCUUUAGAAUCCACCACUUCAGCUUCAACAUUCUUCUCCUGCUCUUCAGUAUCUUCUGCUUUGCAAUCUGUAGCUGGGGUCUCAUUCUUGUUUUCAUUCUCUCUCUCCUUUACAGCAUCUUUAUCAGUGGCUUGAGUUUCAAUUGUUUGGGUUUCACCCCCUUUCUCAUCUUGACCUUCCUUUGCAACAUCUUUCUCAGUCACUGUACCAGUAGUAUCCUUCACAGAUUUUUCUGCUUCUUCCAUGUGGACAUCCUGUGCUGCUUCACUUCCUUCAGGAGCUUCUUUCUCCUUAUCAUCCUUCUUUGAAGCAGAAGAUUUUCUGCUUCUUUUCUUCGGAGUCUCUCUCUCUGGUGGCGGAGUUGCCUUUGCUUUCUCGCUGAUCCUUGCUGAUCUUCUUGGGGUUUCACCAGUUCCCCAGUCAAAUUCUGAUAUUGGAGGACCCCCAGGGUGGGUCUUGAGGUACUGGUCCAAUUGCUUCCUGCUGGUGAUCUCCUCUCCUGUUGGGGCUGUGAAUAUGAUUUCAUUUUUCUUUGGUGUACCUCCUUUUUUGAGCAUAAACUGCAUGAGAGGAAGAUACUUCAUUGGGAUUGUGUAAAAACACAAAGACGACACCACGGGAACCCAACUUGAAGGCUUUUAACUACCAAAACAGAUGCAUUGGGAUUGUGUAAACUACAGAUGAAUGCCAAGUGAGCUAGUUCCUCAAGGACAAGAAUUCAGAAAGUAAUGAAAUCCAGAACUAGGACCAUAAAUCUAGGAUCAGAAAUAGCCUAAGGAUCCUGCUUGAAUCAAGACUAGACAGGAUGAAUUAAUAACUAUUCCAUGAUAAGGAAAGACUAGAUCCACAACAAAAAGCUAAAACAGUAAGCCAAGACAAGCAAUCAGCCUGUUCCACAAUUUUCGGAACAUAAAUCCAGAUUUUUGGAGAAUUAUAGAGUUCACAUUGCACAAUAAAACAACACUUAAAAUUAAAAAAAAUGUGGGAGUUUAUGUUUGAUGCUUAGUCAAGAACCCAGACAACGAGAUAAGCAAUAUGUUUAGGAAAGAUGCAUUAAACCAAGGGAGUCCUACAAGUUGAUAUUGAAGCAUGUGCAACUUGACAAAGAUUGGCUCCAGCAAUCUUCCUUCCACUCAUGUUCAACCUAAAAAGCUUAGCCAAAGCUUCAUGUUUCAACUUAUUGUGCGAGAUAUGGCGAUGAUGAAAGACACAUUAAAGGUAUAGGCAUAGAAGAGUAUACUUCAAGCUAGUCCUUAAGGGCAUCCAGUGUUUCCUUCAAGAAUAAUAAAAACAAAUCAUAGUAUCCUUUAAGCAAAUAUUGGAUUCACAUCCAUGGUCUCAUUUUUCCAUACAAAAUUUAUAAAGUUUGACCAUCCCAUGUUUUUUCAUUUACUAAUAAAGAUCUCUUCAUCUUAAAAAGUUUCAGCACAGUCGGUACAUCAUGAUAUGAAUGGCACAUGGGCAUGCAUAUAACACUGCCUCUUCAGCUGCCUUGUGCUUGCUCACAUUAAUGAAUGUGAACAUUGAAACUCUUUAAUGCAUUUAUAAAUUUUAAGUUCUUGAAUAUGCUGGGUUGUACAAAGUAGAAUUUGGAAUUCAUGCAUGGACACAAAGAACUGUAAAGACAACUUAAAAAGUUCUAUCAUCGCAGCCACAAACACCGAUAUCAGACCAUGAUUGUCAGCAACAGUCGUGAUCCAUCAGAUAAUUACCUCAAGCACCAGGUAUUAAAUUCCCAUAGCAGUCAAAACAAUAAUUGAACUACUGGUCAUACCAGUCAUCAAGAUAAAAGACAUUACAUGCCCCAGCAGCAGUUAGGCAUACUAAACAUUUACACUAUCAGGUUUCCAGAAAAGUAGAAAAUUAGGUUGGGGAAGCAAGUAAAUGAUAAAACUUGGCAAAUAAAUCAAACAACACGAAUUCAAUUCAGCAGAUAUACAGGAAAUUAAACCAUCAAAUCAGUGGUCUUUGAAGGAACAAAUUGGCAUGGCCUAUGCAAUAGUCUAAAUAUAGGUGUUCUAUAUAGACAAAAAUUGCACCAAAGGUGUAAGUAUCAAAUUAAGACAGGCCAUUACCUAAUGCGGUUUUGCUUCACUUGGGAAACAGGAAGACAACCAUCAAUUUUGGGAUUUUACCGAAGAGAAGGUCUUUUAUUUAAUUUAAUCUAGUAGUACAUCAUGAGAUGGAAGCAUACUUCAAGAUCUAGUCCUUUACAAAAGAAGAAAGUGACAACAAAAAACAGCAAAUCACCCCAAAAAAAAGCCAGUAACAGAAAAUUCCAUGAGAAAAAAGGAAAAUCAUAAAUAGAAUUCUAACCUCAAUCUCAUGUAAAUUAAAUCGUGAUGAUGAUAAGUUGACAACCCAAGCCCAGUCGACAUACAAAACCAACAACUUCUUGAGUUGCUUUACAGAACUGCUUUCCCAAGCAUAUAGCUUAUCAAAAAGCAAUAUACAAGCCGAAGGAAAAAAAAAAAGGCUCUCCAAAUCUUAAACGUUACAGCUAACUAUUUAGUGGAACGAAAUUAUGAUUUUACCACACUUCAUAAUCGAAAUAUAUGGAAGAAAAGAGAAACUUACAGGUGCUCCAUAAAUUGAAGCAGCUGAUUUGGUAGCAAUUACAAUCUCAAAAGUACACAGCAGAAUACAACAUAGCAUUUCAAGAGCUGCAUUGCCUUAUUAGACGCUUUCCACUCUUAGAUAAACUAUCAAGACCAAAAAAAGUCAUUUCUAUGAAACUCAGGGUUUGCCAGCUUUGAAACCAGAAAUACACUGUGCCAAAAGUUUAGAAACAUUUAAACAGGGCAUGCUACCAAUCAAGUACAAACAAGCAAACAACCUUCAACCAGUAACUGCAUAAAUGAAAAAUGUUCCUAAAAUUGUGAGCUUAGAAAUUGCUAGUGUGUAACCUAAUUCUUGACCAAAGCCCAAAUCAUUAAACCAUUUCGAGAAUUUAGAACUCAAUCCCAGUUGCUGAAAAUGCAGAAACCAAAAAGGUAAUUUGGACAAAACCAACCCUAGUAAUUACGGCAACAAGCUAUAGGCCAAACUACAGACUCAAUUCAACUUGCACUUUCUUCUCCACAGUCUUGUUAGGAAAUCCUAGAUGGUAUCUUAAAAUACACAUGAAAGUAAAUAACAAUAAAACCUAACUCCAACUGAUAAAAUUGAAUGCACGACUAAUGCAAACAGAAGGUACAAUUAACUACGGCAACGUCGUUAUAUAAUGCCCCAGCUUACUUAUCAUCACCAUGGAAAUUAAGUUCAUUUCCUUUUCAUCACCAGCAGAAUCCAUAUCCCAGUCCAACAAACACAGAGUAGAACUCAUGCUGAAUAACAACAAUUAAAGAACCAAAAACAACAAAAUGACGCAGACCGAUUAAACAAGUUACCAUGGCCUUCUCAACCCUAGCUUCAAAAUUUACAAAUGAACACCCGUAGUUGGUCGAAUUCCACUUCAGAAACCACAUAACCACACCAAAUGGAAAUAUGCCCCUAACCCAGUUCACCCCAAACAAGCCAAAAUGAAUCCCAAAAAACCUCAAUAAACCCGUAAAAAACAAAACUUCAUAUAACCCCAGGUGAUACAUCGCAAGUCUUGUAAAUCCCACCUCAAACCAACAUAAUUGCACAGAAUUAAACGAAGUCCAAUUGAAUUCAAGGACGCAAAACUCAAAUAAACAAGACCACAAGAACGCAAACUUUAGAAAACCCAAUCAAAAAGCACACAAAUACAUGAAAAUAGAGAAAAAGGAGAACUUUUCUGAAAAGGGGUAACCUUUUUCUUCCAGCCAGAAGGAGCAGGGAGUUCCAAGCACACGAAUUCGUUGGCUUCCUCAACCGAGCUCGCCAUUUCUCUUCUUUACCAACUCAAUUUCCAGAGUUCAAGUUACUUGAAUAUUUUAAUAGCAUAAAAAGGGAAUAUAUAAUGAGCAGCGAGUCACAGAGUGAGAGAGUCACCAGACUCAGACCCGCACACAAACAAAACGGGACCAACUAACUUUUAACCAUAUAUUAACUGCACCCACACAUGUAUGUAUGUAUGUAUGUGUAUUUACCUAAUAAUAACAACGAUAAAAAUAAAAAAAGUCCCAGUAAAUAUUUAGCACUACCAGUAAUCUUAGCCACCUUUAUUAGUUUCUCUGCCUACUUAUUCUUGGGAUUUUUCGGUAAAUCCCGAAAUUUAACCACCUAAUCUGAUGAUGUUUUACACUGGGAUUCAUUUUAGUGCCAAGCACUGGAAAUGGUUGUACGCUUUGCAAAAUUGGAGGGAGAGCAAUGGCCAAAUGUGACACGUUGUGGAGGCAAUUUAAUGAGAUCAGAUUUGUGCCACAUUCACUUCACUUCAUUUCAUUUAGCCUUUCUUAGUGUCUUUGGUUUAUCUUCAUUGUUUAUCCUUUCGUGCGGUGGAUCAUUAUCAUUAUUAUUAAUUUUUCUCUUUUUCUACUUUUACACUUGUAAUUAAGAGUAAUAAAUUGCAACUUGUCGUGCUUCAUUGAUAUAUCAGGCACUCAGCCAGAAAUUGGCAAGGUUUAUUUAUUUAAAAAAAAUAUAUAAAUACUAUUAGAAAUGGAAAUGCAAUGGUAGCUCAUGUUACGGAUAAGGUCUUCGCCUCUUAACGUUGAGGUAACAAAAACCAUAACCUACGGACUCUUUGAUAUGUCCAUGUUGCAGAGCCCACUAAACGGUAAUAAUCUAAGAGCCCCAUUUUUUGGGCUCACAGUUCUGUGUGCCUCAAUCGGCUAACUACUAGCCCAACAUAGAAAGGGCUUGGUCUCUGUCCCCAGACAUUGCUUAUUCAUUUUGUAUCUAUAUAUUUCAUGUACUAUUUGUUGUUGGCAGUAAGUAUUUUCUUGACCUUUGAUUUAAUUGAACAUAUCAAUGAAGUACUCCAUUACUUAUAGUUAAUAUAAUCUGUUCUAAAAGGAGAAAAUUUAGGAUCUUGGUUAGCACUUUUGUUUGCAUUGAAAAUAUUAUACUUUCCCUUUUCUUCUCGAUUAAAUGUGCUACUCACCCAGCUUCCAAAUCAGCUUUCAAUUAUUCACUUCCAUUUUUUUUUUCUAGGGCUCGUUCUUGACGUACUUACUUGAAAUUGUACACAACUUUCCACGUUUGUGAUUUUUUUUGUCUAUUUUUUUUUUUAAAAAAACAUUUUUGGUUUACCAGAGCUUCAUCAUCGUAGCACAAUAAUUCUGUUGAAAUAUGAGUUGCAUGGUGUCACAUUCACAAAAAAAUUCUCUGGGCAUUUAACUUGUGGUAUGACAUGCAACCAAACACUACUGGCAGUGCUCCAAAUGUUAGAACAUAUUCUCCAUGGGAAUUUUUUUUUUUUUUUUUUUUUUUGGGUUGGGGUGGGACUUCUACCCAUAGCUGGCCUGCUACCUUAUUACUCACCCUUCACCCUAGGCUAAAAAGGAUUCAAACUGGGGUAAGUUGAUGAUAAUAUGGCCCUACUGAUAUAGGAGUAGGGAUGCUCUCUGACCCAAGAAUAUGUGGCAUCAGAAACUUUAGUGAUUUUCACUUAGUAUUAUUUAUUUACUGGGAUAAUAUCAAAAAUCACAACCUCUCCUGAGAUUUUUUCUAAUAUCGCUUAGCACCCCUAAAAUUUUAAAAGUAUCGCUUACGUCCCAUUCUCAAAAUUGCAAAAUAACUAUAUUAUCCCUUACUAGAUAUAUAAUUCACAUGUCAAAUAAAUGGAGAUCAAAAAAAUUAAAAGGAAAAAGAAACAAGGAUUCACUUUCUUUUCUUUCUCCUUAUUCCAACAUUUUCUCUUACUCAUUUUUUUUGGAUGCCUAUUUAAUUUUUUAUUUAUAAAUAUAGUAAAUUAAAUUUUAUUUAUCUUUUAUCUUUUUAUGAUCAUGAUAGAGUGGGAUAUGAUUUCUUUAUUUAUUUUGAAUAAAUUUUUAUAAUGAUUUAGUGCAACUUAAAGGUUUAUAUCAUGCAUUGAGAAGAGGUUGGGAAAAAAAGAUAAGAUUCAUGAGAAAUUGAGCUAGCAUAUAGAGUUGAAUUGGUGCUAGUGUAUUUCUUUACAAAUAUCUAUUUUUACUUUUUAAAUUUAUAUUUUUAUGAACUAUAGUUUUAUGAUGUUGUGGUGCUGCUAAAAAUAAUUUUUAAUGUUGUGAUUUUUCUUGGAGUAAACAAAGUGAUUUAAGAGUAUUUUUAUUUAGUAAUACGAGCAAAAGGAUAGUUCAGAGUUUUUAAAAAUCUUGUUACACAAAAAUAACAAAAUAAAGAGAACCAAGCGACUGUUUUUAAGAUUUUAGAGGCGCUAAGUAAUACUAAGGGAAACCUUGGAAGAGCUUUCUGAUAUUAUCCCUUAUUUAUUUUGUGCUUUUAAGGGCUGAAGAGCUGAGUGGGUGCCGCCGGCCGGGUGAUAGUCAGAGAGAUGAAGUGACAAGAAAUGCAAUGAAUGAUUGACAGUCAUGGAUUUAUAUUUUUAUGAACUAUAGUUUUAUGAUGUUGUGGUGCUGCUAAAAAUAAUUUUUAAUGUUGUGAUUUUUUUUGGAAUAAACAAAGUGAUUUAAGAGUAUUUUUAUUUAGUAAUACGAGCAAAAGGAUAGUUCAGAGUUUUUAAAAAUCUUGUUACACAAAAAUAACAAAAUAAAGAGAACCAAGCGACUGUUUUUAAGAUUUUAGAGGCGCUAAGUAAUACUAAGGGAAACCUUGGAAGAGCUUUCUGAUAUUAUCCCUUAUUUAUUUUGUGCUUUUAAGGGCUGAAGAGCUGAGUGGGUGCCGCCGGCCGGGUGAUAGUCAGAGAGAUGAAGUGACAAGAAAUGCAAUGAAUGCUUGACAGUCAUGGAUUUGACGUUUCAGAUUCUGUCCCAGCCGUUUUCGUUCACAGAGACACAGCUCUUUUAAAUUUAAUAAGAAAGAAAGGAAAAGAAAAAGAAGCAGCCCCAGCAUCCUACUGGCGUCGCUUCCCCAAGUUUCCCAGUGUACGGUUAUUUUCUAGGAGAAAACAUAAUAUUUAUUGCCAGCUUGUAAUGUACAUUGUAGGACAACCCUCUUUUCAGAUCCCAAGGACCAACAUUGAUUUGAUUCAUUCCUUGUUUUUUUUUUGGUAGAAUACAACACAGUUUUCCUAGAUUUCAGCUUCCGCUCUAAUUUUCUUUUUAUACACCUUUUUAUUUUUGUUACAACAAAUAAAAGAAGCAUUCACUAUUAAUAUCUCGUACAUCAAAACUGUUUGAAACGCCUGCAUGAAUCCGUUGUUGUUGGACAACAGAUGAAUGUAAGUAUGAAACCCUCUGAUUCUUUUUUCUAAUUGCGAAAUUGCUCUCUCAAUAUCAUCAAGUAAUACUGAAAAACAAAGAAAUGGGCGAUAUUGUUUGAAACAAUGCAGCCAAAUUGGCUUGGCAAAGUAGUAUUUGGUUUUUAGUGGUCUGCUGCGUUGGCCGUAGAGGAGUGUGACAUGAUGGAUGGAUGCCAGAUGACUAAAAUGGUGGUCCAUCGAUCACUCUUUUUUAUCACCAGGAUUACAUGUGUUGUGGGAAUGCGUUUGUACCUAUGCUUUGACACAAAAGGUCUUUUCCUUGUUUUUAUAUAUAUAUAUAUUUUUUCAGCUAUAGCGAAAUGAAAAGCAAAAAGCUUUUGCCACCAAUGGCAUUUUGCUCAUUACAGAUGCUAGAUUGGCAUAGCAUGGUACCAAGUAUAAUCUGGUAAAAGGCUACCAGGGGACCAGAAUUUGGGUUUUAACUUUCAAGCACCCUCACCGCCAUCUCUCCCCCCUCCCCACAAAAAUUCAAAGCCCUGAGAUCAUGCUAGCUGUUUAAUCAAAAUCCCUCUUCCCUCUCCUUGACCACCAGAAAAUGAUAGGGGGGUUACAAAGAGUAUAGGGAGAUAGAGUUAAAAAGACUAGAGCAUUCUACCAAAUGCAGAACUUUGUGACUUCUCAAUCUAGUAUUGUUUUCUUUCUCUUUCCACCCACUCGAAAAGGGAAUUUUACGUUCCUGAUUCCCUUCUGGUUCAAUGUCUCAAAAGCUAGUGGCUAAAUUUGGUUAAAGUUGUACACUGAAAGUACCAUCGACGAGACAUUUGAUAAGGUUAGUAAAAAUUUUAUCACAGGAGUAGAAUCUCAAUUUUGUUGAUGUUGAACCUUCACUUCCCGCACUCGUCCAUCCAUUCUAAAGACGAUCCAAUUUGUAGCUUUGAAAGUUAGGUACGCGUAAUGCACGUAUCAAGCUGGUAAUUAAAGUAGAAGUUUGCCAUGAAUUCAUUCUUAAUUCGUUUUCUACUUCAAGCAAAAGAUGCCAAUUACUUGGUCAUAACAAGAAACUUGACGAAACUAGAACAAUUGAAAGCUAUCAUACAACACUAACUAUUUUUGUGUCUUGGAAGAUCGAGACAUUGUUACAUGUUUUUCUCUUAUAUGAUUAGUUGAUUGCUAAUUUAAAAGGGCUGGAAGUCACGCAAAAGGAAAUGAAAACUUUUGAGAAUUUACAAAUUCACUAUUUUCAGUGGUAUUUUACAAAAUUUAGAUAGAGGUCGAUCGAAUAAACUUCAUGUCCCUAUUUCAGAUGAAAACUCGAAAAUUUUACCAAUUAGUCUUACAUGUAUAUAACACCUAAACGAUGCUCUAUAUUAAUAUCCAUUAGGUAAUCUUAGAGCAAGAUUUUAGCACCACAAAAGGUAAAAGUAUUAGUGGCUAGACGACGACCAAUGUUAGCAUUCAAGACCUAAAAGAUGGCAUGAGGCAAGCUGUUGGCGGAUUGAAAGGAUGGUUUCUGAGCAUGUCAUGGAUUUGUAUGCCUCAUUAGCUGUUGGCAAGAAACAAGGCUCAGGAAGGAUUGUAUGAUACUUGAAAGCAAAAUCAAGGAUGAUCGCCCAAAUUUUAUUAAAUUACCAUGUCAAUUGUUUCAGUGCCCCGCGUAAUAUCCAAAUUGCCUGUGCAGUCAAGUUAUACUACUAUCAUUCUCGUUUAGAUAUUAUAAAUGCCCAUCGAAUAAACUGCCUAUAUCUCUAUAAUAAUAAUGUAGGAUAUGUCCAACAAACACUACUAGAGUUGUAACCGAAAGGACUUUACUAUUAACAUUUUCUUGUGCUAAUCGCAAAGAGGAGCAAUCAAAUUUUGCAUAUAUCAUCAAAUAAGAUGAUUAGUCGGAAUAUACUUUCUGUAAAAUGUUUUCCUAAAGACAUAAACCUCCCACAAACUUAUAAAACAAGGGACAAACAAAGAAAAGGGAUCAGGUAUCCAUAGAGGCCAGAUUGAAGAGUUAUUUUUAUCACUUCCAUAAAUACAUAAGCAAAAGAAAGUAGCUUACUGCAACAGCACACUGGUAGCAUCUUCCAUAAAGCAUUUUGUAACAAGUACAACGCAGGACUGGGAUAUUGUGAUAGUAAUAAAAGCUUAAUAGUGUCACAAGUCUUGUUCAAUUCAUUUGAAGAUCUCUGAAAUCACUGACAAGCUUUGGGGGGGGGGGGGAAUUAUGGCGCUCUCAUUUGUUCAAUAGUGCAGUCCUUGGCGUUAGGCGCUUCUCAGAAUCCUGCCAAAGAUGGAAAACCUAAAAGUCAUCAACCUCGAAUAUAAAGACCAAAAAAAAGUUAAUCGGCUUGUUUCGCAAUGAUUGUGCAACUAGAAUUGAGAUUAGAAUCUUCUCAAUUUUAUAUUUUGAAGCAGAAUGCGCAUCUAGCUAGUUAAUCACAUGCAUUUGAAGAGAUUGAGAACCAGAUGCAUAAAACCAUAAGAACCCUAUGUCUCCCGAACCGUGGAUGCUGUGAUUAUAGCCCUUGCUAGCUCCUAAAUUUGACAUGGUACUUUUUCCGUUUCUUUCCUUCUUGCUCUUUUUUUUCUCUUUUUUGAUCAAGUUAUCCUCAGACUAAAAUAUCAAAUAGCUACUCAUGAUUUGCAUACUUAUGGUGACAAGUGACAAGAGGCAUUUCGCCAGAACGAUGGACAGUACAUAAGUCAGAAAACUUAAACCUACACAGCUAAAGUACGUAUCAUGCAUCUCUAAGAAGAAAAAUAAACUUCCGACUCUUUUCUUCUUUGUUAAUUUUCUUUUUUCUUGUUUGGCUGGGAAAAGCUUGGGAUAUUAUGCAUGCAUGCAACCACAUCCAUAGUUCUUCGCAUGCCGACUCAGUAAAUUAACAACCCCUAUUUGCUUCAGUCAAAAAAGAAAAAUUUUUAGUCAAAUUCCUCAAAAAAUAAAAAAUAAAAAAUUGAUGUAUCUCUUAGUAUCUACUUCAUACACACAACCUUGUUGAUUAAUUAUAAAUAUACCAUGAUCUCUCAAUUACUCAAUGUGUUAAGGGGGCCAAGCUGGCUAUGAUUCUUUAGAGGCUCCAAAUGACGAUCUUUUAUGAAUUUUAAUUGCAGCAUAAACCCAAAACUCGGAGAGAGCAAAACAAAUAAUAAUUAGAAGCUGAAAAAUAGUCUUUUUAUUUAUUUAUUUUUUGGAGUUACGUACCUCGCCUAGUUUGGGUUUGUUAUUGGUCUCCAACAUGAGCCCAAAGUGAAUGUGAGGGAAGUGCGCCCACUUUUACAGCCAAGAAUUCAAAGUUCACAAGUCAUCAUCAGCCAAAUUCAACAAAAGUAGUAUUACUGCUCUGAUAUCUGCUGUUGUGCAAUCCAAGAAAAGGCGAGACAAUUAAAGUUUGCUAAGAUUAACGUGCACACUUACAUUCUUGGCAGCUGUACUAAAAGCUUCCCUGUGGUUAAUAUCCGGGUUAUUGGCUUUGAUCCUCUGAAUCUCGUCUCUGCACGUAUUUUUGUUUCUCCCAUCAAUAAGUUGGUGUAAUGAAAGUGAUAGAUCACUUAUUGCUACUAAUAAGUUCCAUGUGGCAAUGCCCAAGAAAAACAGAUGAUUAAAGAGUGGCUAGUAUUAAUUCAGGUGAUGAGUACUGAGGCAGGCGCAGGUGCAAUUACUUUAUGAACUGGUUGUAUGCAGAUGGUACUCGCUGUCUCUUCUCAGGAGCUGAAAAAAGGAACUCGUGCGUAUGAUAUGAUGAACAAAAUGGGAGAAACAAUAAUUUUAAAAAAAAAGAAAGAGAUUAAAAACAUGCAUAAGUAGGGAAAACUGGGGAAAUUAAAUUAUUCAAGUUACUAACGCACGCACGUCGAUUCACAAUCCUUUCCUCAGCGCGGUUUGGUAUGGAUGGUCGCGUUGCUGGCUUGAUGUUGUAACCUUUGGCGGAGGAACCAAAGUCGAUCCUGUAUUGAUCAGGUGGAGUGGAGUUCUGAGCCUGAAAUUAACCCCGUGUUACCAAGUUAAUGAAGAAACACUCGGCCGGGAUUGAUUUGUUCAUAAGCAUCAUUAAUUAAAUACUAUCAGCAAAUGUGAAAGACAGGAGUUCUGCAUCUGUUGCUCGCUGGCCCCUCACUUCUUCACUCAUUUACUACGUCUGCACUCUGCUGAGUUGAGAAGGCCGGAUGGGGCGGGGGUCAAUCUUCUUGGCGUUGGGUGCUUUGAGUGUGAGAAAGAGAGAGGAAGGGAGAGUUGACUGAGACAUUUAAAAGAGAGAGAGAGAGAGAGAGAGAGAGAAAAGAGAGAGAAAGGAGAGGAUCACAACAUUAGUUAGGAAUAUGACGAUGAGAAUGGAACCCAGAGAAGAAGUGAAAGCCCCCCCCCCCCACUAAAGGAAAUUCGGGAUUAUAUGGGGCUGUGUUUCCGCAGUAGAGGACAAGGCCCUGAUGGAAAAGAGAUCAUGGGGUGGCAAAAAUAAAAAUAAAAAACGAACGAAAGAAAGAAGUUAGCAACCUUCAACCAACAAAAACAUACAUGUCAAUCAAAACAUCAAAUCAGCAGAUCCAAAAGCAAAAUAAAAUAUCCCCUGAUAUAUAAUCCUAGUUUACUUUAAUGGGGCAGGAGGUUGACACUGCCUGACUAAUUACACUGUCUAGCCGCAAAAAUACGGCCUACAAAGACUAGAAAAAAUUAUUCUGGCGGCUGUUAGGGUUCUGUCUCAGGUCUCAGAGAUGCUAUAAAAGCUCGCAGUGAGGGGGGGAAGAAAAAAAAAAGAAAAGACUCGAUCUACGAAGAUUGCAUCUCAAGUUUGUUAAUGGAGAAGACUUGGGAAGAAGAGAAUUGAGAUUGAUUCCCUCAAAAGAAGGAAAAAUCACCCCUCCCACCCUAGAUUUCAGAAGCCUAAGUAGAUGGAUCGCCCACAAAUUGAGCUGAUCAAUGUUGUUACUGCCUGCCUGCCAUACUGAAGAUAUUAUGGGGUGCUGACCUGAACAUCUUGCCAGCAGGAGGAGGAGGACAGCGACUGGAAUGCAGCUGCCAUGUUCACGGACCAUAGAUUGGUGCAGUGUCCACAUCGGACGGUCACGACAUCAAAUAAGCUGCUGCAUGGAACACUCACCUGAAAAAUUCAACAAAAACCACCAAAAUAGACUUCUCAGAAGCCGCUGUUAUAAAGUUACCAGUCCCGAAAGUCAAGAAACAUACGAUUUUCUACCUCGAGAUCCCUCUUACUCAAUAUAAAUCCAUAUCCCGAAAAAAAAGAAAAAAGAAAGCAGCGACUUUUUUCCCAAUGAAUUGAGGGCUAACUAUUGAAUAGCUAAAGGGUUUAAGGGGGCUAAUAAAAAAAUAUAGCUACCUCUUUGAUUCAAAAAUAAUAAUAAAAGAAACCCUAAAAUGGAGAGAGGGGAAGUAAUUGCUAUUCGCUGGAGUUUUCCAUAUAAAACCAGCGGCAGGUGAGUAAAUUCACCACUCCACCAGCCACAGAAACAAUAAUAUGUUUUCUGGAUGCUUCCCUUGCUCUUGGGCUGAUGGUAGAGAUUGAAGGAAAGGUAUGGCACAGUGGGAGGAAAUCCAAGGCUCAAAGACUUGUCUUCAUCAGAGUUUUAUCGUCAAAAUUUCCUUACUUUGGCGACAAAUUAAACAUUUAAAGGAAAUCAAUACAGUAAAACCUCUCACUACUCGCGCGCUCUCUCUCUGACUCGCACCCUCUCACAUACUCUCUCUGGUCAUUUUGAAACUUUAAGACCUCAGAGUAAGACUUUUCUUUGACUGCAAAAGAAAGAAGGGAAAAGGAAAGUCCGAACGAUGGAGACUUGUCCGUAAGAAAAACCAAGCAAAAAUUUGUACAAAAGAAGAUUAAUGGAAUUCGGUAUAAUAACGCCAAAUAGUCUGAUCUCUCUGCAUCAAAAGCUAGCCUUUUCCAGCAACUAUGAUGUUCUCUCUUGUUCACCCACCCCCCCGGCGGGAAUAACAAGAAGCACUCAUCGUGCAAGAAAUGACACAAAAUAUGGAUAGAUAGUUUGAGGAUGUAUAUAUAUUAGAAGUAGAUCCCACUAGCCAAAAGAGCUUCAGAGAUUAAUUGAUGGAUACCGCAAGAACUAUAUUGCAAAAGUUGCAAGGGAUGUAGCAGAGUUGCUCAGGUGGUGGCGGCGAAACAUCGCUGCAGCUCGACAUGACUGUCUAGUCCUUCACCAAAAAAUGGAGCUAGAAAAAACAAACAACGAAGAGGAAGAAGAAGAAAGAAGAUAAAUAUAAAACCAACUCUCCAGACCCUCUCCUGCAAGCACACAAAAGAGAAAAGCAAGCAAUAUAUACGAGAGAAAAAGGCUACGAUAUAUUCUUUAUCUAUCUUUCUCUUCCUCUCUCUGUCUUGCUCUCUUUCAAGAAGUUCUAUGUAAAUGUGUAUCACAACAGUAGAGCCAGACUUUUGCGUGUAUAUGAAAAGAAGAUUAUACUAGUACUAGUAUACCAGUAAAGGGAUCUUUAUUUUCCCUUAGAAAUUGGAAAAAAAAAUACAGGAAUUGGAGGGAGGGAUAAAAAGAGAGAGGGAAGAAAAAAGAAAAGUAGGGUUUGGAUCCAAAGUGGCUUCACAGAGAGAAGGGCAGUGAUCAAUAGGGAAUGUGCAAUAAAAGAAUACUGGGUUCAGCUGUGGCCACGGCUACCAGGAGGUGCUGGACC
rnacentral:lncRNA from 1 species